rnacentral:rRNA from 1 species
GACAGAGGGGGCAAGCGUUGCUCGGAAUUACUGGGCGUAAAGGGCGCGUAGGCGGGCCGGAAAGUCGGUCGUGAAAUCCUCCGGCUCAACCGGAGAACGGCGAUCGAUACUUCCGUUCUUGAGGGUUGCAGAGGAGACUGGAAUUCCCGGUGUAGCGGUGAAAUGUGUAGAGAUCGGGAGGAACACCGGUGGCGAAGGCGGGUCUCUGGGCAACUCCUGACGCUGAGGCGCGAAAGCGUGGGGAGCAAACGGG